rnacentral:rRNA from 1 species
GACGAACGCUGGCGGCGUGCUUAACACAUGCGAGCCGAACGGAAAGGCCUGCUUUCCCUUGUGGAUUGCGGGUACUCGAGUGGCGAACGGGUGAGUAACACGUGAGUGAUCUGCCCCCAACUUGGGUAUAAGCCUGGGAAACUGGGUCUAAUUCCCGAUAGGACUGCAGGGUGGUGCCUGUGGUGGAAAACGAUUUUCUAGUGGUUGGGGAUGAGCUCGCGGCCUAUCAGCUUGUUGGUGGGGUAAUGGCCUACCAAGGCGGCGACGGGUAGCCGGCCUGAGAGGGUGGACGGCCACAUUGGGACUGAGAUACGGCCCAGACUCCUACGGGAGGCAGCAGUGGGGAAUAUUGCACAAUGGGCGGAAGCCUGAUGCAGCGACGCCGCGUGGGGGAUGACGGCCUUCGGGUUGUAAACUCCUUUCGACCGCGAGGAAGCCACCUGGUUGGAAGGGUGGUGACGGUAGUGGUAGAAGAAGCACCGGCUAACUACGUG